UGAUCAAUGAUGACUCCCACAAAAACAUUCCUUGGAAGUGGAACAAAAUGAGUGAAAACUCUAUUAAAAAAAGAAAAAAAUAUGUUAUUA